GAACGAGAUAGUGGAGCAAUCCAUGAGUAAAGUGGCGUACGGGUGAGUAACACGUGGGUAAUCUACCUUUUGGUGGGGAAUAACCCUGGGAAACCGGGGCUAAUACCGCAUAAGCUCGAAAGAGGAAAAGAGAAAUUUGCCGAAAGAGGAGCCCGCGGCUGAUUAGCUAGUUGGUGAGGUAAAGGCUCACCAAGGCGAAGAUCGGUAGCCGGCCUGAGAGGGCACACGGCCACACUGGCACUGAAACACGGGCCAGACUCCUACGGGAGGCAGCAGUGGGGAAUCCUGCACAAUGGGGGAAACCCUGAUGCAGCGACGCCGCGUGAGCGAUGAAGCCCUUCGGGGUGUAAAGCUCUUUCGGCCCGAACGAUAAUGACGGUACGGGAAGAAGAAGCUGCGGCUAACUACGUGCCAGCAGCCGCGGUAAUACGUAGGCAGCGAGCGUUGUUCGGAGUUACUGGGCGUAAAGCGUGCGUAGGCGG
rnacentral:rRNA from 1 species